AUGGAAACGGUGAAGGCGGCCUGGGAGGAACAAGUCUCUAGUAAUGACCCCAUGAAGAUUUUCAGUGUGAAACUGCAGCGCACCGCGAAGGCUCUCAGAAGUUGGGGUCAAAGGAAACAGAGCCAUAUGACCACCCUUUUUCAGAUUGCAAAUGAGCUGAUUUUGCGUUUAGAUGGCGCACGGGAAAAUAGAUCUUUGUCAGAAGAGGAACGCAAGCUAAAGGCUUUUUUGAAGGGAAAGUGCCUGGCACUCGCUUCCCUGGAGAGGGUGCGUCUCCGACAGCAUGCCAGAGUGAGAGACCUUCAGGAGGGGGAUGCUAAUUCCAAGUACUUCCACUUGAAAGCUAAUGGACGGCGUCGAAAGCGUCAAAUUCCUUUCUUCAAGGAUGGCGAUCGCAUGGUCUCAGCCAUGGAGGAUAAAAUGAAUCUAGCAUGGAGUUUUUACUGUGGUCUUAUGGGCACGCCGGCGCCUACUACAUCUUCCUUGAGGCUAGAUGAUUUGAAUCUGCAUAGUUUAUCCCCGGAGCUGGCUUCUGGUCUAGAAGUGGAGUUCACUGACACCGAGGUCAUGCAGGUGAUUAUGGAGAUGCCUUCUGACCGGGCUCCUGGGCCUGACGGUUUCUCCGGCCUAUUCUAUAAGGCUUGCUGGGAGGUUAUUAGGGAAGAUUUGAUGGCUAUCAUGCAUGAUCUGCACAGGGGCAAAUUCUUCUCCUUUGGCCGGUUAAACUCAUCAAUUAUUUCAUUGCUGCCUAAGAUAGACAGAUCCUUGGAAGUGGCAGAUUUCCGACCGAUAAACCUAAUUCAUGGUGCUGCUAAAUUUUUUGCCAAGGUCCUGGCUGUUCGCCUUGCUCCGUUGCUACCUGGGCUGAUCUCGCAAGUUCAGAGUGCUUUUGUCAGCAGGAGAAGUAUCCACGAGAACUUCAAAUUUAUGCACAAUACCGCACGGCUGCUGCAUCAUAGGAAAGUCCCGGCUGUGCUUAUGAAGAUUGACAUCUCCAAAGCCUUUGAUACUUUGUCCUGGGAAUUCAUUCUCAAAUUGUUGAUUCGGAGAGGUUUUGGACGAAGAUGGUGCUCUUGGAUCUGUGGCCUCAUGUGCACUGCCUCAUCCUCGGUGAUGGUCAAUGGUGAGACUAGUGAUCCCUUUGCGUUGGCUAGUGGUGUAAGACAAGGCGAUCCACUGUCACCGGUGCUCUUCAUCCUGGCUAUGGACACGCUUCAGGCUAUGAUUCAUUGGGCUACCAGGCACAAUCUACUCCCGGACAUGGGGCUUGGGAGCAAUGUGCCAAGGGCUUCUUUCUUCGCGGAUGACGCGAUCCUUUUCUUCAGACCUACGCCAAGCGAUAUGCAGGUCAUUUCUGCUGCUCUGAAGCUGUUUGGUGAAGCCACUGGACUUCGUAUCAAACUACAAAAGAGCACCAUUACUUGCAUCAGGAAAAGUGACACCAUAUCAGCGGGGGUGGCACAUCAUUUUUCCUGCCAGCUGAAGCAAUUUCCCAUUCAAUAUUUGGGGCUCCCUCUAUCAAUUUUCAGAUUACAACGCCAACAUAUACUGCCCCUCAUCGACAAAUACUCCAGCAGGAUGAAAGGAUGGAAGCCAAGGAUGCUUGCGCCUGCGGGACGGUUGGCACUUACGCAAUCUGUGUUGAUGGCAUUGCCCUUGCAUUUUCUUUCAGUGCUGCCACUGCCGGCAUGGGCUUUGGAAAUCAUCAACAUGAGGUGUAGGGGCUUCAUUUGGAAAGGGGAAAAUGAGAUCAAUGGAGGUCAUUGUCUUCUGCCUUGGGCGAGAGUGUGUAUGCCGAAGGAGUGUGGUGGCCUGGGCAUCUUGAACUUGAAGUGGUUCGGCUCGGCUUUGCAUUACCGAUGA
rnacentral:rRNA from 1 species